rnacentral:rRNA from 1 species
UUGGGGUUCGAUUAAGCCAUGCGAGUCGAGAGGUGCAAGACCUCGGCAUACUGCUCAGUAACACGUGGACAAUCUAACCUAUGGAAGAGGAUAACCCCGGGAAACUGGGGAUAAUACUCUAUAGAUUAUGAAUGCUGGAAUGCUUUGUAGUCGAAAGGUCCGCCGCCAUAGGGUGGGUCUGCGGCCGAUUAGGUUGUUGUUGGGGUAACGGCCCAACAAGCCUGUAAUCGGUACGGGUUGUGGGAGCAAGAGCCCGGAGAUGGAUUCUGAGACACGAAUCCAGGCCCUACGGGGCGCAGCAGGCGCGAAAACUUUACAAUGCGGGAAACCGUGAUAAGGGAACUCCGAGUGCCCGUGAAAUCGGGCUGUCCAUCUGUUUAAAUAGCAGUGAAGAAAGGGCCGGGCAAGACCGGUGCCAGCCGCCGCGGUAAUACCGGCGGCUCGAGUGGUGGCCACUAUUACUGGGCUUAAAGCGUUCGUAGCUGGUUUGUUAAGUCUCUGGGGAAAUCUUCCGGCUUAACCGGAAGGCGUCUCAGGGAUACUGGUAGACUAGGGACCGGGAGAGGUGAGGGGUACUCUAGGGGUAGGAGUGAAAUCCUGUAAUCCUUGGGGGACCACCUGUGGCGAAGGCGCCUCACCAGAACGGCUCCGACAGUGAGGGACGAAAGCUGGGGGAGCAAACCGGAUUAGAUACCCGGGUAGUCCCAGCCGUAAACGAUGCGCGUUAGGUGUAUCGGUGACCACGAGUCACCGAGGUGCCGAAGAGAAAUCGUGAAACGUGCCGCCUGGGAAGUACGGUCGCAAA